GCUGGAGCCAACCAAAACAAUAUAAGCUACAGCCACUUAAUCUAGAGGAAGUUGUAUUAAAGCACGGAGUACAACAUAUUGAGAAGGAAGCGUUUCGGUAAUCAAUGCUUUUCACUAUCUGAGGAGUACGUUCUAGCCGUCAAAACCAAAGCUAGGGGACCUAUCGUACAUACGAUGAAUUUCAGAUUCAGUGUGCACUGUUGAGAUGUCUUUGGUGCGACAGUAAAAUCCUACCCUGCAGGCAGGCUGCAAAGGAGCGACCGUGAUAGGCAAUCUAGGCAAGCGGUGACCAAGGAUAGGCAUGUAGCAUAUGGCCACGAUAUGUUCGGUGCAGACGGACAGGGUGACCAUGAAAGGCUUGUCUUUGCCUUCAGGAGGUUUUCGUAAUAGGUUUGUCGUGGGCUGCGCGGGGUGACCAUGACACUAUGGGUUAGUUUCUAGGCCGCAGGAAUUCACCAUAAUAGGCUUGUUUUAGGCUGCAAAGGGUGACCAUGAGUAGGCUUGGCAAAUGCUGCUGUUUACGAUAUGAUUCUCGUAUUGUUGUAGGCUGCAGACCAUGUGGUAAUUUUGUCGCAGAAUGCUCUCGAAUGGACAAUGAUAGACACAUCAAAUGCAGGGCAUUAUGGUUAAUCUCAUAUUUGUAAUCAUAUAUUAUAUAUGUGCGAUUAUACAGUAACCGUCCCUCGAGAUUCAUACUGGAUAAGACACAUAUCCUAAACUAUCAAAUUCGUUUCAUGGUGUAAAAUUCAUUACUCACCUGAGCUAUCUAAGAUAAGCUCUUCUUUUGAAUGACUUUUAAUAGAAUAGGGAGUGGAAGGCACAAAAGACAACAUUCAAGGUCAAUCCCCUAGUCACCAUCCCCUUCCCGUGAUACAGAAAAGGUGGAAAAUUAAAUAUUAAUUAUCACAAGUAUAUGUUGCAAGGUUUAAUUUCAAUUAAUGUUUAACUAAAAAAAUAUAUAAUUAUGCAAAAUAUUAGCUUUUAUAACAUUUAUUGUGCAAUAAAACAACUGGAAAUUUGUUUUCCUAUCAUAUAAAAACACAAAGCAAUUACAAAUAACAUAGAAUUGCAUGCAGAUAUUUGAAAUUGAUCACUUAAAAAAAUAAUUACAAUUAAACUGAUAAAUGCGUGGUAAACAGAAAAAACCCCGCGAUUUUUAUACCACAUUUAAAAAAUGAAUGUGAAUUUAUAUCAAAUUAUUUAAUAUUAAAUUGUGCGAAAAUAAAAUUUGAUUUACUACUAUAUCUGUAGCAACUUGAUAUAUUCUUUAUGACUGUUUAAAAAAUUUGCUUGUGGGUGAGUUUAUUAUGAAUAUUUGACAGGGAUGGAUAUGAUCCCCUCUGCAUUAGGUAUGUUAAGAAUGAACAAAAUGCACUUAUAUUUAUGCUAAAAUGCAUUCUUUCUUGUUGCCAACAAUUUUGUUUUAAAUCAUUUCUUAAAAAGUGAAAUUCAGUGACAAGUAAGAUCUAUGGAGGAAACUUAAUCAAGACUGAAAAGAAUAGAGUAUAAACAAUUUCAAAAAUAAAUUGCACAGAGGAAAUAUAUCUGGUAUUAAACUAUUAAAUUUUCUCCUUGCUAAUUUAGCAAUUAUAAAUUUGCAAAAAAGGAAGAAUACGUGGUGAAAUCUUGUCAGAAUUUGAUAAUAACACUGGAGCCAGCCAGGAAGCCAGAUAUUCAAAGAAAGUUUCCUGUCAAGUACCCAUUAAGAAAUAAGAAGCAACAGUCUGAACACAGCUCUUAAAAAAAAAAAUUCUCGCAAUUACGUUAAUGAAUAGGCUUAACACUUGAAACUACGGCUUUCCUCUCACACUUGAAGGCCUGUGUCACAUGCUCCCUAAGGGUGCGCCCCAUUGGCUGAACUUAACUACACAAAUACACAACCCAGAAGUGCAUAGUUCCACAAAGUACCCACAGCCAUGCAUGACAACUGAGCAACACAGUUAUAUGCACUUAGCACUUGCUGGCCAUGCAAUUCCCACUAAGAAUUUAAUUGAAAUUAAAAUGUACAGAACUAGUUCUUUGCCAUAAUAAGACUGUCCCACAAGAAGUAUUUCUUCUGCUACUGAUGUUUAAUGGAAUACAGGAAAAAUUUGAUUCAGACAUGAAUUUAAGUUCACCUGCUUAUUCAUUCCUACGCAAUAAGAAAUGUAGCGUGGUCUUAAAUAAUUUAAUAAAUUCUGUAGAUUUAUUCACAAAUUACUACUCAUAAAGAGCAGACGUGUUUCCUAACUAACUGCAAACAUGUUGUCAUAUUAUUAUAUACCUAUGUACUGCCCUCUACAUUAUUUACUUCAAACUGAGGAAGUUUUAAAUUCACCUGCAGUAGUAAAAUUAUGAUUUGUGCAAGCAGGCAUUUUAUCACACAUUGUAUUCUGCAUGUACGUAACUGGAAAGAGGUACACAGGAAGAUAUGGAAUGGGAAGAUGGAAAAGGUGAAGUCACAAAAAGGAGGGGGGGGGGAAGAAGGGAUAGGGAAUAUUAUAUUAAAUAUUUGUUAGGAAAAAGCUAUAAACUAGUUUACAUAAUCUUUAGCAUCACCAUUUUUAUAAAUCCUGAUGUGUUAUCUUUAUCUCAGUUUAAUGAUUACAUCAAAAGCAUUACAAACUUUUCACCAACAUUACCCCAGUGCCAAUUCGUAUAAUCAUGUUAUCGUAAUUACUAUCUUCCCUUCUAUUAUGUGUUCUCCCUUAUAAUAAAGAAUAUGAUAACGAUGAUGAUACUGUAAUCUGUGUAUCUGUAUCAUUAUCAGUGUUUUGAAGGAACAAAGCAAUAUAUUUUCUGGUUAGUAGUAAAAUGCUUGCCUUCUAAUCCCAUAGUCCUGGGUUCAAAUGCGUGGCGGCACAAGAUCUGAUUCAUGAUUAAGAACAUCCUCACCCCCUAAUCCUCAUAAUGAGGCGGAAUCACGUUAUUUAACUUAUUCAAGAGAACUCCUCAAUUUAUAGAGGGUCCCCAUUUAUAACAUUGUAUAGUAAAAAGAAAAUAAUAAUAAUAACAAUAGUAAUAAUAUGUCAGUAUUUAUAGAUGCUCUACACAACUAAGUCGCUAACAUUUUAAUCAUAGUUGUAUAUAUUUAGAGAAAAAUAUAACUGACAUACUUUCAGCAAUUUCUCAUCCAUUGUUGUGCUUAACUUUGUAUAUUUCUCAUUAUUUCCCUAUUUAAGUCAGUACUUGUAUUUUAUGUAACUAAAUAUCCUAAUCAUUAGUCUUUUCCUGACUUCAUUUAACAUGUAAUCCUUGCAUUGACCAGAAAGUGUGAGUGUCUUACAUAUGGAAUCUUGUUCGGAAAAACCAGAUCAGGUAUAUUUCACGUGCAUUUCUACACACCAGUCGCAGGUUCUGUAUCAUUUCCGAGUUGUAAUUUUCGUACCUGCUGUUUAAUAAUCAUUACAAGUCUUUGCAAAUGACUUCUUAAUAUAUGAUAGCUUUCGAUGGAAUUUAAAUGCAUCCAAAGACGAUAAAAUUCAAUACAAACUACACAGUUUCAAUUACAGUACUGUACAUUUCAUUUGCUUUCACCUGUUGUCUAUAUUGUCGAAUGUGUGAUGUUGGAUUUUCUGCCGGGCAAAUUUUUUUAUUCUCCCUACACACAAUCCAUUAGAAUUGUUCCCCGUGAUGGGCGCUGCCCUCUUUAUCAUCAUUUUCUCCGCAUGUCUAUUCUAUAUGAUGCACUGUAAUAAUGCAAUGAAUUGUUUCCAGAUGGUAGAUUCAUUUUCAACUUAUGAUAUCCCAUCAGUGUACCAACCUUUUCGAAUAUUUUUUAAUUCUAAAGAAGAUAGCAGAUUAUGAUGAUAAUGAUGAUACAUACAUCGAAGAAUACAUAAUGAUGAUGCUUAUCAUAAUAAUGAUAUUGAUGGUACAUACAUUAAUAAACUGAUUUUGAUAGUACUUCAGAUAAUGAUUAUGAUAUUGACAAAUAUACAUCAAUGAACUGGUGAUGAGGAGGAUAAGAUAAUGACAAUGAUGCUGAUAUUACAAUAAUAUGAGUAAAAAAGUUUAAAUGAGUUAAAAAA